rnacentral:rRNA from 1 species
CCUACGGGAGGCAGCAGUGGGGAAUCUUGCGCAAUGGGCGAAAGCCUGACGCAGCCAUGCCGCGUGAAUGAUGAAGGUCUUAGGAUUGUAAAAUUCUUUCACCGGGGACGAUAAUGACGGUACCCGGAGAAGAAGCCCCGGCUAACUUCGUGCCAGCAGCCGCGGUAAUACGAAGGGGGCUAGCGUUGCUCGGAAUUACUGGGCGUAAAGGGAGCGUAGGCGGAUAGUUUAGUCAGAGGUGAAAGCCCAGGGCUCAACCUUGGAAUUGCCUUUGAUACUGGCUAUCUUGAGUGUGGGAGAGGUAUGUGGAACUCCGAGUGUAGAGGUGAAAUUCGUAGAUAUUCGGAAGAACACCAGUGGCGAAGGCGACAUACUGGCCCAUUACUGACGCUGAGGCUCGAAAGCGUGGGGAGCAAACAGGAUUAGAUACCCUGGUAGUCCACGCUGUAAACGAUGAGUGCUAGUUGUCGGCAGGCAUGCCUGUCGGUGACGCAGCUAACGCAUUAAGCACUCCGCCUGGGGAGUACGGUCGCAAGAUUAAAACUCAAAGGAAUUGACGGCUGAGACGUGCCGACGGACGACGACGAGGGAGGAGG